GCUCCCGUCUUUAUCAUUAGAUGAAGAU
rnacentral:rRNA from 1 species